GCGGGGGUUCCCGAGCGGCCAAAGGGGCAGGACUUAAGAUCCUGUGGCUUAGUGCCUUCGCAGGUUCAAACCCUGCCCCCCGCA
rnacentral:tRNA from 1 species